rnacentral:rRNA from 1 species
CCUACGGGUGGCAGCAGUGAGGAAUAUUGGUCAAUGGACGAGAGUCUGAACCAGCCAAGUAGCGUGAAGGAUGACUGCCCUAUGGGUUGUAAACUUCUUUUAUAUGGGAAUAAAAUGUUCCACGUGUGGGCUUUUGUAUGUACCAUAUGAAUAAGGAUCGGCUAACUCCGUGCCAGCAGCCGCGGUAAUACGGAGGAUCCGAGCGUUAUCCGGAUUUAUUGGGUUUAAAGGGAGCGUAGGUGGAUUGUUAAGUCAGUUGUGAAAGUUUGCGGCGCAACCGUGAAAUUGCAGUGGAAACUGGCAGUCUUGAGUACAGUAGAGGUGGGUAGAAUGCGGGGUGUAGCGGUGAAAUGCUGAGAGAUCUCGAAGAAGUCCGAUUGCGAAGGCAGCUCACUGGAC